CAGCACAGCAUGUUUCAACUGUUAAACAGUCUUCCUCAAGUGCAAAAGAGAAGAAGACUGUUUAACAGUUGAAACAUGUUGUGCUG